CCAGACUCCUACGGAGGCAGCAGUGAGGAAUAUUGGUCAAUGGGCUAAGGCCUGAACCAGCCAAGUCGCGUGAGGGAAGACGGUCCUAUGGAUUGUAAACCUCUUUUGUCAGGGAGCAAGGUGCAGGUCGGGACCUGCUGUGAGAGUACCUGAAGAAAAAGCAUCGGCUAACUCCGUGCCAGCAGCCGCGGUAAUACGGAGGAUGCGAGCGUUAUCCGGAUUUAUUGGGUUUAAAGGGUGCGUAGGCGGGCAUUUAAGCCGGCGGUCAAAUGUCGGGGCUCAACCCCGGCCUGCCGUCGGAACUGGGUGCCUUGAGUGGGCGAGAAGUAUGCGGAAUGCGUGGUGUAGCGGUGAAAUGCAUAGAUAUCACGCAGAACUCCGAUUGCGAAGGCAGCAUACCGGCGCUCAACUGACGCUCAUGCACGAAAGCGUGGGUAUCGAACAGGAUUAGAUACCCUGGUAU
rnacentral:rRNA from 1 species